rnacentral:rRNA from 1 species
UACGUAGGCAGCGAGCGUUGUUCGGAAUUACUGGGCGUAAAGAGUGUGUAGGCGGUGCUCCCAGUCUGUUGUGAAAUCUCCCGGCUUAACUGGGAGGGUGCAGCGGAAACUAGAGUGCUAGAGGGUGGGAGAGGUAAGCGGAAUUCCUGGUGUAGCGGUGAAAUGCGUAGAUAUCAGGAGGAACACCUGCGGUGUAGACGGCUUACUGGACGGUAACUGACGCUGAGGCACGAAAGCGUGGGUAGCAAACAGG